ACGGGGUGCAGCAGGCGCGAAACCUUCACAAUGCACGAAAGUGUGAUGAGGGUACUCCGAGUGCGCAUACAUUGUAUGUGCUUUUCUGCAGCGUAAAUAGUUGCAGGAAUAAGGGCUGGGCAAGACCGGUGCCAGCCGCCGCGGUAACACCGGCAGCCCUAGUGGUGGCCGCUUUUAUUGGGCCUAAAGCGUCCGUAGCCGGACAGGCGAGUCUUUGGGUAAAUCCUACGUCUUAAGCGUGGGAAUUCUAAAGAUACUACCUGUCUUGAGGCCGGGAGAGGCUGGAGGUACUCCUGGGGUAGGGGUAAAAUCCUAUAAUCCUGGGGGGACCACCGAUGGCGAAGGCAUCCAGCUGGAACGGGCCUGACGGUGAGGGACGAAACCCAGGGGAGCGAGCCGGAUUAGAUACCCGGGUAGUCCUGGGCGUAAAUGAUGUGGGCUUGGUGUGAGCGCAUCGACGAGGUGCGCUUGUGCCGUAGGGAAGCCGUUAAGCCCACCGCCUGGGGAGUACGGUCGCAAGGCUGAAACUUAAAGGAAUUGGCGGGGGAG
rnacentral:rRNA from 1 species